rnacentral:lncRNA from 1 species
AGAUGUCUCUGAGCCGUCAUCUGUGUACACAGAGCCUGGACCCUUGCUAGAACCUUUGGUGAUUCUGCAGGGCCCAGUGGCUGAGCUGGCUUUGCUCUCACUGCGGAGAUUGAGCGGCUCCAGGAGUGUGACCACCCGAGAGCCAGUUUGGACCUGCUUCUGGAAGCACAGGGGUGUCUCCACAUGUUUGAUUUCCCCCUCAACUUUGCUGACCACAAACUCCAAGGCCUUGGUCUGCGACUUCUUGGUCUGGAGGUAGAGCUGGUCUGCAGUGGCUCGGGUGCCACCACCCUUCCUCAGACCUGCAGCCACAGAGGCUGCGCUGCUCCUCAGCAGGCUCUGCUCCACUCUGGCUCCAACACCUCCACAUUUUAAGUCCAGGAAGGUUGACCAUCGUCCAAAGCCCACUUCAGAGAGCGUGGUAGAGGAUUCCCGGGAGCUGAUGUUCAGAGCCUCAAAAUAAGGCCUUGAAGAUUCGUUCACAGUCUUCACCUCUAGAGAAGAUUCAACCAGUUGUACCACAAGUUUGAAGCCCUGGGAAGCUGGCCAGAACUGCCCAAGAAUGUCCCCCUUUGUCUCUUCCAGCCUGGAUCUGUGGGAAGAUGGAUGUGUUUGGUGCUGAUGCUGCAAUCCACAGAGCUCAUGUACUCUCCAUUUCAGCUUUCUCCCGAGACUUCUACUUACCUUUUGUUAAAAUGCUACGCAAUGCUGGAUGCUGUCGGACGUGUGCAGAGACUGCAGUAUGGUCAUGGAAAAAAGUUGGAGGAGAUGAAGGAAGAUGGGGGUGUGGAGUGAGUGGCGUGCCCUGGGCAUCUCCAGCUGGUCCGUGUGCUUUCUGUGCCAGGGAGCUCUGCUCGGCAAGGCCAACAGGACAGAGAUGGACUGAUUCGGCUUUCAACUGUCACCGGUCACCAAAUGACUUAUCUUGUUUUCCUGGGUAGUGACAGGCCACCAAACACGCUAAACUAUUGCUCCCAAAGAUAGUUUAACUGUUCACAACAAAAUCAGACUUGCCAGGGAUCUGAAGAAACAAGACAAGUAAGAGAAAUCCAUUGGUUGCAUAGAAGAUGCAUUAUGUUCAUCUAUGGAUCCUGAGACCCAAGUAGAGAUUCUAGGUGUGGAAAACACUUUCAUGAAAGACUACUACAUUUAUGUUAUUAGAAGGAUCUGUGACUUUAACUUUUAAUGGACCUUUAAUAGACAAAUGAAGAGUUCAAUGUCUUCAAUUGCAUGUCAAGCAUGAGCGUGCUAGGUGGCAUCUUGUCCGGGAGACAAUUCUGCCUGGAAAAACGGACUAAGCCCUUACACCUCUGAAAAGCAAAUGUCAACUACAUCGUACUGACUUUCUGAUCUCAGUCUGCCAUCUUUCUCUGUCAUGCUAACCGCUGUCUCAGUGCAGAUAUAUACAGCAAAUUUUAAAAGUACUCUUAGGUCUGAAGAGAUGGCUCAGGAGAUAUGAACACACAACUGCUCUUGCAGAGGACAAGUUUGAUUCCUAGCACCCAGGCUGGGUGGCUCACAAACAGCUGCAUGGGAUCUGAUGCCAUCUUCUGGGUCCCCAGAGCAUCUGUGUGCACACUCACAUACCCUGACCCAGGCACAUGUAAAUAUACAAUUAAAAAUAAAAUGUAUUCUUCUCAUUCAGCUAAAAAAAAAAUCAUCCUU